GUAUAAUCCUGACCGUGUCAUGAGACAGUUCGGUCUAUAUCAAGAUAUUCCACCACCGGUUCCAAGAUGUAUCGACGAAGAAACUCAUAAGAUGAGCAAUAUGGGCAGAUCUGGUGUGGACUGGAAUGCAGAAAACAUUGAAUGGAUAAAUCAGUGGAAUAAUGAAGCUCUACAAAAUAUAGUGCCUCAGCAACGAACGUACGAUGCAACUACGACAGAAGCGUACUAUAAUUGGUAUCGCAUGAGCACGCGUACUAGACUGACGAGUGAACCACCUACGAUGCCAACACAUCCAACGCAUAUGGAACAGUUGCAGAGACGGAUGGACACAUCAUCAGCUUACUAUCGUGA